CCUACGGGGGGCAGCAGUGGGGAAUAUUGCACAAUGGGCGCAAGCCUGAUGCAGCCAUGCCGCGUGUGUGAAGAAGGCCUUCGGGUUGUAAAGCACUUUCAGCGGGGAGGAAGGCGGUGAGGUUAAUAACCUCAUCGAUUGACGUUACCCGCAGAAGAAGCACCGGCUAACUCCGUGCCAGCAGCCGCGGUAAUACGAAGGGUGCAAGCGUUAAUCGGAAUUACUGGGCGUAAAGCGCACGCAGGCGGUCUGUCAAGUCGGAUGUGAAAUCCCCGGGCUCAACCUGGGAACUGCAUUCGAAACUGGCAGGCUAGAGUCUUGUAGAGGGGGGUAGAAUUCCAGGUGUAGCGGUGAAAUGCGUAGAGAUCUGGAGGAAUACCGGUGGCGAAGGCGGCCCCCUGGACAAAGACUGACGCUCAGGUGCGAAAGCGUGGGGAGCAAACAGGAUUAGAUACCCUAGUAGUC
rnacentral:rRNA from 1 species